rnacentral:rRNA from 1 species
ACGGGAGGCAGCAGCUAAGAAUAUUCCGCAAUGGACGAAAGUCUGACGGAGCGACGCCGCGUGGAUGAUGAAGGUCGAAAGAUUGUAAAAUCCUUUUAGGAGUGAAGAAUAAGAGGUGCAGGGAAUGGCAUCACGGUGACGGUAGCUCCUGAAUAAGCAACGGCUAAUUACGUGCCAGCAGCCGCGGUAACACGUAAGUUGCGAGCGUUGUUCGGAAUUAUUGGGCGUAAAGGGUAUGUAGGCGGUCGUGCAAGCUUGGUGUGAAAGGCAGGGGCUCAACCCCUGGACUGCAUUGAGAACUGCAUGACUUGAAUUGCUGAAGGGCAGCCGGAAUUCCAGGUGUAGGGGUGAAAUCUGUAGAUAUCUGGAAGAAUACCAAUGGCGAAGGCAGGUUACCAGCAGAUGACUGACGCUGAGGUGCGAAGGUGCGGGGAGCAAACAGGAUUAGAUACCCUGGUA